rnacentral:rRNA from 1 species
CCGGGCGCACGGGUGAGUAACGCGUAUGCGACCUGCCCGUUGCAGGGGGAUAAUCGGGAGAAAUCCCGUCUAAUACCGCGUAACGCCGCGGGGCUGCAUGGCCCUGCGGCCAAAGGGAGCGAUUCCGGCAACGGAUGGGCAUGCGUGACAUUAGCUAGUUGGCGGGGCAACGGCCCACCAAGGCGACGAUGUCUAGGGGUUCUGAGAGGAAGGUCCCCCACACUGGUACUGAGACACGGACCAGACUCCUACGGAAGGCAGCAG